rnacentral:lncRNA from 1 species
UUCCAAUUGGUUAAGGGUUUUAGGAUAUUUAGGGUUAAGCGUCCUUGGGUUUGAAUAGUACUAGGUUGGGUGACCUAAGUCCAAACUCAGGAACUUACACCUAGCUUAUAUAUAAGACCGAUUUAAGCAACCAAAGAUAACAACUUGAGAGAUAAAGAUAACAACUUGAGAGAUAAUCUAUAGGUUUCAAAUAUAAGGGGAAAG